UUUCCGUAGGUGAACCUGCGGAAGGAUCAUUCAUAAUAAAGUGUUUUAUGGCACUUUUUAAAAACCCAUAUCCACCUUGUGUGCAAUGUUAGAUCUCGUCAAUCUUGGCGAGAUUUUUAUACAUCAACUCAUUCUUCAACUAAUUUGUCUGAAAAAUAUUAUGAAUACUUAAUUCAAAAUACAACUUUCAACAACGGAUCUCUUGGCUCUC
rnacentral:misc_RNA from 1 species